rnacentral:rRNA from 1 species
GAUGAACGCUGGCGGCGUGCCUAGUACAUGCAAGUCGAGCGAACGGACGAGAAGCUUGCUUUUCUGAUGUUAGCGGCGGACGGGUGAGUAACACGUGGAUAACCUACCUAUAAGACUGGGAUAACUUCGGGAAACCGGAGCUAAUACCGGAUAAUAUUUUGAACCGCAUGGUUCAAAAGUGAAAGACGGUCUUGCUGUCACUUAUAGAUGGAUCCGCGCUGCAUUAGCUAGUUGGUAAGGUAACGGCUUACCAAGGCAACGAUGCAUAGCCGACCUGAGAGGGUGAUCGGCCACACGGGAGCUGAGACACGGUCCAGACUCCUACGGGAGGCAGCAGUAGGGAAUCUUACGCAAUGGGCGAAAGCCUGACGGAGCAACGCCGCGUGAGUGAUGAAGGUCUUCGGAUCGUAAAGCUCUGUUAUUAGGGAAGAACAUAUGUGUAAGUAACUGUGCACAUCUUGACGGUACCUAAUCAGAAAGCCACGGCUAACUACGUG